rnacentral:rRNA from 1 species
UGAGUAAAAAGUCGUAACAAGGUUUCCGUAGGUGAACCUGCGGAAGGAUCAUUGUCGAAUCCUGCAUGGCAGAACCACUCGCGAACAAGUUCUCAAACUCAAGGCACCGGCCAAUUGCGAGGGAACACCUUGCUCUUGGCCGGUGCCUAACGGUGCCACGGCGUCUUGCCCUGGUGCUGAACAAACCCCCGGCGUGAGAAGCGCCAAGGAAUACUUUAACAAGAGCUUGAACCAUCCUCUCCCGUUCGCGGGGAUUAGGGGAACGGUGACGGCUUCUUUAUAAAUCACAACGACUCUCGGCAACGGAUAUCUUGGCUCUCGCAUCGAUGAAGAACGUAGCGAAAUGCGAUACUUGGUGUGAAUUGCAGAAUCCCGUGAACCAUCGAGUCUUUGAACGCAAGUUGCGCCUGAAGCCAUUAGGCUAAAGGCACGUCUGCCUGGGCGUCACGCAUCGCGUCACCCCAUCCCCAAGUACUUGCGGAUGUGGUGGAUUGUGACCUCCUGUGUCCUGGGAUGCAGUUGGUCGAAAAUCGAGUCCGGAGCUUAGGACUUCACGGCAAGUGGUGGUUGGAUAACAACUCGCGUCAUGUCGUGUGCCAAACCUCCGCGGCUCUGUAGACCCUAUGGCGUGUGUUUUCCGACCCUCGGGUUGGGAAAUCGUGCUACGACCGCGACCCCAGGUCAGGCGGGAUUACCCGCUGAAUUUAAGCAUAUCAA